rnacentral:misc_RNA from 1 species
UUUAGGCUAUGGUGCCUUGCUUCAAAAUGAUCAUUGCCUUGCAUCUCACCUCUCACCUAAGGCCAUAGGGUACCUUAUUAGCUUAGUGUUACCUCUCGCCUUAGUAACACUGGUCGAGUUGGAAAAUUGCGAAAUUGUCUAAGAUAAAUAAUAAAACAAUAAUUUUAACCAUUAAUAAAAUUAAAAAUUAAAUUUAAAGGUCUUGGCUAUUACAUUGUUACUUUUACUUGGAUAGAGUUUCUACUGUGAGAAAAAAGGCUCUUGAUUUUCCUUAUCUUUUUGUUAAGGUGACAAUUUAUAACGAUGCCUUUGAUUUAUUUUUAUUAGCAAAAUUAAGAAGUCGUAAAACUUUUUUCGCUACUUUCACUUGGAUAGGAUUCUUGUCCGAAUAAAGAUUCUUGGUCUUCACCAUCUUUUCUGGGAUAACAUUUUUUUUUGAGUAAUUGUUAUUACUUACAUUAACACAACUAUAAUAUGAUGAAAGUGUCUUUUAGGUGUUUUCAUAGUUUC